GUCCCCUGCUGCCCCCUCCACCGCCGACCGCCACUCCUCCGGCGACCGAAUUCUCCCCUCAGGCGAGCAAAACCAGUCUAGAUGGCUUCAGCUCCAUCCUUCAUCGCUUCGAGCUCCGUCCGCCUCGCCGGAGAGGAGCUGAAAUUCGCCUCUUACACCUCAAAUUCAAUCACCGCACAUAAAUCUUGGAGAAGAUCUAUGGUCAAAACCCUAGCA
rnacentral:misc_RNA from 1 species